AUAGGUUGAGAGAAAAUGAUGAGUUUGUGAAUAAGUGGUAUGGUUUAGUCAGUCCUAAUAUAAUGAAGUUGUAUAAUGAAUAUUUGAAAAUAGCCCAAGUGUACAAGGUCAAUGGCAAUGGAGACAGUGGAUAUGAGGUAACAUAAGGACAUGAUAGACAUGUGGUGAAUUUGAGGCAAAAGCGGUGUACUUGUAGGACAUGGGACCUUACUGGAAUCCCAUGUCCACAUGCAAUCAAGGCCAUGAUUCACAAGAAAAUUGACCCUAUUUCUGAGAUACAUUGGUAUCAUAGCAAGGAGGCAUUCAAGCUAGCAUACAAACACAAGUUGCGGCGGCCAGGGGCGUACAGUUUUGGAAUGUUGACCCUUCUCAGGCCAUGGAACCACCAACUUUGGUCAAACUUGCCGGCAGACCCAGGAUUAAGAGGGAUAGAGGGAAAGAUGAGGCCCUUAACAGGCAAGGUGAAUGGAAGCCUUCAAGGAAAGGUAGAGUGAUGACUUGUAGCAACUGUGGAGAGCCAAAUCAUAAUGUUAGGGGCUGUGGCAAGCCAAAGAAAGGCAAGCAACAAGCUAAGAAAAGGUAACCUGCUAGGGGCAAAAAGAGGCAGACUCGGGGCUUAGUUGAUGAAGAUGAAAAUUCCCAAGUUGAAGAAGAAAUCAACUUAACAGCCCCCCAACCAACCCAAGACAGUCAGCCCAUGCCUUUAGCAAAGACCUCAUUUCCUAACUUUGAAUAUCCUUCGGUUGAGAAGAUGAUGAAGACCCUUUUCUAAGGCCCAUAGUGAUUUCUGAAUUUUCCACAAGACUUCAAAUGAGGCAGAAAGCACAAGAACCAACAGGUAGAAGGGCAAUAAGCUUUAGAGGUGACCACAAUGGUGUUAGUGAGGCAACCAAUCUUCCAGUCUCAUUAACAAGCAACUUGGCAAGGAAUGAUGCGGUUACUACCAACCGGUUGGAGGCUAAAGCUCAAGAGAGGAUUGGGAAGUUGAAUCCAAGAAGGGGACCUAACAGUUGAUUUAGCUUUAUGAAAUGUUAUUGUUUUUGUGAAUUAUGGUGAUGUAUUUACUGCUUAAGACAAAGAUUUUAAUUUGCUAAUUAUGUAAUGGUCAAACUAAAUGGAUGCCACAUUAUGACUUGGGAUGUAUUAGUUUUUGGGGUUAUAGUGUGGCAUCCAUACAACUAUUGGCUUAUUUUGUGUUGUGGUUGGCAGUUUCUUUAGCAUAUUUAUGGUGUUUGAAA